rnacentral:misc_RNA from 1 species
UCCGGUUUGUCACCGGCAGUCUCCUUAGAGUUCCCACCAUUACGUGCUGGCAACUAAAUGCUGGGGUUGCGCUCGUUGCGGGACUUAACCCAACAUCUCACGACACGAGCUGACGACAGCCAUGCAGCACCUGUGUUCCCGUUCCCUUUCGGGCACAGCCGGAUUUCUCCAGCCUCCAGGACAUGUCAAGGGUAGGUAAGGCUUUUCGCGUUGCAUCGAAUUAAUCCACAUAAUCCACCGCUUGUGCGGGUCCCCGUCAAUUCCUUUGAGUUUUAACCUUGCGGCCGUACUCCCCAGGCGGUCAACUUCACGCGUUAGCUUCGUUACCAAGGAAUUACUUCCCCGACAACCAGUUGACAUCGUUUAGGGCGUGGACUAC